UCUUGCUCCAAGACACUUGACAGCACUCUUCCUUCCCUGGACGGCGGCAGCAGGGCCGAGUGAAGUGGUAACACCCGGGCAGCGGCAACGCCUGGGUGGGCCGGGUGGACAGGAGGGAGUAGCAAACAGAGGAGGGGAAGAACGGCCGCUGAGUUGGAAAGACAAAGUAAAACGAAAUUUUAGGAGCUCGCUGUCCAGAACAGGGAAGACAGAAGACAGAAAGCAGAUUAGCGAUUGCUCAGAACUGGGGUUGUAGGGGAAGGAAGAAUUGGAAGAUGACAGCCCUGUGAGGCUUAAUCCUUUUAGAGAAACAUAUUUUUAAGCAACUUGGAUAGAGCAUAUUACUGUGUGAUACGUCAUCUUGUCAGCUUGCGUGCCGCUCACUUUUGAUCUGUUUGAAAUGCUUGCCUGGGGCCAUCUGUGGGAAAUCGUCUAGUCUGACCCAUCCUGUCCCCAUCUCUACACCAGUGGUUUUGAGCACUUUGGGGUCAUGUGUCCCAUUGAUACUAUGAUAAAAGGACAUUGCUGCCAUGUGACAAGCCCCGCUGAUGCCAUUGAGGAUGUGAGGCCACGUGGAAGGAGAUCCCAGCCAUCCAGCCCAAAUUGCCCACUCACAGCAUUGUCGUGUUAGGACCUUGUGCGUUUCCACUUGCUCUGCCUGGCUGGAAUCUCUGCACCCCGGGGAGACCGUAUUGAACCCCAUGAUGGCAUCGCUGAGACUGGGCGCCUGUUUUUCCUCCCAAGAAGCCACAGUGCCGUAAUUAACUCACUGUUCACAUUUCAGAGCAGGCAGGGUUUUAAUCCCCUCGGAAAUUGGUUUCGGACAUGGAAGUUAUAGUUCUCCACCCUCUAAUUGCAAAGGGGAGAUAAUAGGGCAUCAGUAUCGCCAUUUCGAU